rnacentral:rRNA from 1 species
GACGAACGCUGGCGGCGUGCUUAACACAUGCAAGUCGAACGGAAAGACCCUGGUUUUGUGUUGUGCUCGAGUGGCGAACGGGUGAGUAACACGUGAGUAACCUGCCCUUGACUUUGGGAUAACUUCUGGAAACUGCGGCUAAUACCGGAUAGGAGCUCCUGCUGCAUGGUGGGGGUUGGGAAGGUUCGGCGGUUGGGGAUGGACUCGCGGCUUAUCAGCUUGUUGGUGGGGUAGUGGCUUACCAAGGCUUCGACGGGUAGCCGGCCUGAGAGGGUGACCGGCCACACUGGGACUGAGACACGGCCCAGACUCCUACGGGAGGCAGCAGUGGGGAAUAUUGCACAAUGGGCGGAAGCCUGAUGCAGCAACGCCGCGUGCGGGAUGACGGCCUUCGGGUUGUAAACCGCUUUCGCCUGUGACGAAGCGUGAGUGACGGUAACUGGUAAAGAAGCACCGGCUAACUACGUG